rnacentral:rRNA from 1 species
UACGUAGGGGGCAAGCGUUGUCCGGAUUCAUUGGGCGUAAAGAGCGUGUAGGCGGCCAGGUAGGUCGGUUGUGAAAACUGGAGGCUCAACCUUCAGAGGUCGACCGAAACCAUCUGGCUAGAGUCCGGGGAGAGGAGAGUGGAAUUCCUGGUGUAGCGGUGAAAUGCGUAGAUACUGGGAGGAACACCAGUGGCGAAGGCGGCUACCUGGACCGGUUCUGACGCUGAGGCGCGAAAGCGUGGGUAGCAAACAGG